GAGGGUAUAGUUCAAGUGGUAGAGUGCAUGCUUAGCAUGCAUGAGGUCCUGGGUUCAAUCCCCAGUACCUUCU
rnacentral:tRNA from 1 species